GUCUGUGUACCUUAACGGAAAGAGGAUCAGAUAAGCCGGAAAGCGGCCUCUGAAAGUUGCUAGUUCGACUCUAGCCACAGGCA
rnacentral:tRNA from 1 species